UACAGAGGUCCCGAGCGUUGUUCGGAUUUAUUGGGCGUAAAGGGUGCGUAGGUGGCAAAGUAAGUUGGAUGUGAAAUCCUGGGGCUCAACCUCAGAAUUGCAUUCAAUACUGCUUAGCUAGAGAGCUGUAGAGGAGACUGGAAUUUACGGUGUAGCAGUGAAAUGCGUAGAUAUCGUAAGGAAGACCAGUGGCGAAGGCGGGUCUCUGGACAGUUCCUGACGCUGAGGCACGAAGGUCAGGGGAGCAAACGGG
rnacentral:rRNA from 1 species